rnacentral:rRNA from 1 species
GUAGUCCACGCCGUAAACGAUGAGUGCUAGGUGUUAGGGGUUUCGAUACCCUUGGUGCCGAAGUUAACACAUUAAGCACUCCGCCUGGGGAGUACGGUCGCAAGACUGAAACUCAAAGGAAUUGACGGGGACCCGCACAAGCAGUGGAGUAUGUGGUUUAAUUCGAAGCAACGCGAAGAACCUUACCAGGUCUUGACAUCCCUCUGAAUCUGCUAGAGAUAGCAGCGGCCUUCGGGACAGAGGAGACAGGUGGUGCAUGGUUGUCGUCAGCUCGUGUCGUGAGAUGUUGGGUUAAGUCCCGCAACGAGCGCAACCCUUAACUUUAGUUGCCAUCAGGUAAUGCUGGGCACUCUAGAGUGACUGCCGGUGACAAACCGGA